rnacentral:rRNA from 1 species
UCGCCCUUAUUAGAUACCCUGGUAGUCCACGCCGUAAACGAUGAUUACCAGGUGUCGGUGGGUAUGGACCCACCGGUGCCGCAGCAAACGCAGUAAGUAAUCCACCUGGGGAGUACGUUCGCAAGAAUGAAACUCAAAGGAAUUGACGGGGACCCGCACAAGCGGUGGAGCAUGUGGUUUAAUCCGAAGCAACGCGUAGAACCUUACCAAGUCUUGACAUCCCAUCGAAUAAAGGGUAAUGCCUUUAGUCCUUCGGGACGAUGGAGACAGGUGGUGCAUGGUUGUCGUCAGCUCGUGUCGUGAGAUGUUGGGUUAAGUCCCGCAACGAGCGCAACCCUUAUCCUCAGUAGCCAGCAGGUAAAGCCGGGCACUCUGGGGAGACUGCCGGGGAUAACCCGGAGGAAGGUGGGGAUGACGUCAAAUCAUCAUGCCCCUUAUGAUUUGGGCUACACACGUGCUACAAUGGCGUAAACAGAGGGAAGCGAACCCGCGAGGGGGAGCAAAUCCAGAAAUAACGUCCCAGUUCGGAUUGUAGUCUGCAACCCGGCUACAUGAAGCUGGAAUCGCUAGUAAUCGCGGAUCAGAAUGCCGCGGUGAAUACGUUCCCGGGUCUUGUACACACCGCCCGUCACACCAUGGGAGUCGGAAAUGCCCGAAGUCUGUGACCCAACCUCAGGGAGGGAGCAGCCGAAGGCAGGUCGGAUGACUGGGGUGAAGUCGUAACAAGGUACC